AGAGUUUGAUCAUGGCUCAGAGUGAACGCUGGCGGCGUGCCUAACACAUGCAAGUCGAGGGGCAGCGGCACCCUUCUUCGGAAGGGUGGCCGGCGACCGGCGAACGGGUGAGUAACACGUAGCUACUUGCCCUCCAGAGGGGGAUAACCCGGGGAAACCCGGGCUAAUACCGCAUAUACCCGAGAGGGGAAAGGACGUAAGUCCGCUGGAGGAUAGGGCUGCGGCGUAUCAGCUAGUUGGUGGGGUAACGGCCUACCAAGGCGAUGACGCGUAGCUGGUCUGAGAGGAUGAUCAGCCACACUGGGACUGAGACACGGCCCAGACUCCUACGGGAGGCAGCAGUGGGGAAUCUUGGGCAAUGGGCGAAAGCCUGACCCAGCAACGCCGCGUGGAGGAAGAAGCCCUUCGGGGUGUAAACUCCUUUUGCAGGGGAAGAGAGAGACGGUACCCUGCGAAUAAGCUCCGGCUAACUCCGUGCCAGCAGUUGCGGUAAUACGGGGGGAGCGAGCGUUACUCGGAAUUACUGGGCGUAAAGGGUGCGUAGGCGGCUAGGUAAGUUGGGAGUGAAAGACCACGGUUUAACCGUGGGGGUGCUUCCAAAACUGCCAAGCUAGAGUC
rnacentral:rRNA from 1 species